UACGUAGGGUGCAAGCGUUGUCCGGAUUUAUUGGGUUUAAAGGGUGCGUAGGUGGCCUUAUAAGUCAGCGGUGAAAGUCUGCAGCUUAACUGUAGAACUGCCAUUGAUACUGUAAGGCUUGAGUACUGAUGAGGUAGGCGGAAUUGAUAGUGUAGCGGUGAAAUGCAUAGAUAUUAUCAAGAACACCGAUUGCGAAGGCAGCUUACUAAGGAGUUACUGACACUGAGGCACGAAAGCGUGGGGAUCAAACAGG
rnacentral:rRNA from 1 species